rnacentral:antisense_RNA from 1 species
GGGGAUGGACCUCCAGAUUUCCUUACUGACCUGCAUUAUCUUGUGGAUACCUGAGUGAAUUCCACACCACCCAUUUUAUAGAUGAAGCCACUGAGACGUGGAGCAACUGACUGAGUAGUCACUGCCCCACCCCUGCCUGGAGCCUCACACAUGACUUCUCUUAGUGACCACAGGAAAACAAGCUCAGGGCUCCCACUGAUUGUACAUUAUGAGACAGAGUCUUCUUGCUAUGUUGCCCAGGCUGGUCUUGAACUCCUAACCUCAAGCGAUCCUCCCAUCUUGGCCUCCCAGGUGUCAGGAUUACAGGCAUGUGCUAUCACACCCAACCUGAUACAUUGCCUUUAUAAAUUUUUUUUUCUUUAUUCUAAAAAACAGAAAAAACAAAACUGGAUACAUGUGCAGAACAUGCAGGUGAGACGUGGUCUUGUAACACAGUGGUUAAGAAUGUGACUUUGGAGCCAGCCUGCUAGGGGCUGAAUUCUGACUCAGCCAUUUAUUAACUGUGUGACCUUAGGUCAUAGAAUUUUCCACACUCCUUGACGGAGGUUCUUAACCCUUAUCCAUCAGCAUUCUCAGACAGCACCUCCGGUUAGGGACAGUAUCUGACCGUCCGACAUCCCUGCAGCCCCCA